CUUUCAGGACUAUUGGACAGAUGGGAAGUAGUCUGUCAUUUGAAGAAUUAUUUUUGGUUUACAACGUUUGUUUCUCAAGUAGAAUGACAUGCUUCCCUCUUCUCCAAAGUAGUGGAGUGUUGGUGGAAAAGGGGAGACACAUAAGAAUUAAUAGAUGCUGUUUCCCAAGAAAAGUCAGAUUUCUGAAUCACAAGCCAGAAGGUGAGGUGUCUUAGUCCUUCAGUUGUGAAACUUCAUAGAGGUAUGCGCCAAGCAUCUUCACUCCCUGAAUGUAGUUGUACCUGUUCAGUUUCUCAUUUUGAGAGUGGGCACCAUCAUCAGCAGCACCAACAGGAAGCAGCAUGACAUUCUUGCCUGUUGCUUCUUGAAAAGUGAGGGUAACAGGAAUGCUUCC
rnacentral:lncRNA from 1 species